ACGGGUGAGUAACGCGUGGGAACCUACCCAGAACUUCGGAAUAACACAUGGAAACGUGUGCUAAUACCGGAUACGCCCUACGGGGGAAAGAUUUAUCGGUUUUGGAUGGGCCCGCGUAAGAUUAGCUAGUUGGUGAGGUAAUGGCUCACCAAGGCGACGAUCUUUAGCUGGUCUGAGAGGAUGAUCAGCCACACUGGGACUGAGACACGGCCCAGACUCCUACGGGAGGCAGCAGUGGGGAAUAUUGGACAAUGGGCGCAAGCCUGAUCCAGCCAUGCCGCGUGAGUGAUGAAGGCCUUAGGGUUGUAAAGCUCUUUCAGUAGGGAAGAUAAUGACGGUACCUACAGAAGAAGCCCCGGCUAACUUCGUGCCAGCAGCCGCGGUAAUACGAAGGGGGCUAGCGUUGUUCGGAUUUACUGGGCGUAAAGCGCACGUAGGCGGAUCGUUAAGUUAGGGGUGAAAUCCUGGAGCUCAACUCCAGAACUGCCUCUAAUACUGGCGAUCUAGAGUCCGGAAGAGGUGAGUGGAACUCCUAGUGUAGAGGUGGAAUUCGUAGA
rnacentral:rRNA from 2 species